AGCGCCCGCCUGGAGCCCCCGGGCCAGCGGCCGGCCGCUGGGGCCGAGUAUUGUCUCAAAGGCCGAAAAGAGAGGAAAGCGGGGAGACUGGGGGGCAGCCACGUGACUGGGAGAGGAUUUAUAAUAUUUUCUUUCGCUGUCGACAGUAUUGCAAAAUGUAUGAAAGGGACUGACCGCACCGCCGGGACCGGAGCGUGAGGGCGCGGGCAAGACAGGUUCCCGAAGCGCCCGCGCUGUGCCCGCUGGAGCCCGGGGGUCUCUCCAGCUCACCUGGAGGAAUCUGAGGGGCAGAGGCCAGCUUACCGACACGACAGUCGCUGAGGGGCCUCAAACCCGGUCUGGUCCGAGCCCGCAGCCCAGCUCCUUCUCUCCUUCCACUUCGCCUCACGUUUCCCCCCUACCGGAAAUCUGAUGGGCUUAUGACAUCAUGGCUGGCUGCUGAGCGAUGAGUGGAUGCCACAAAGAAAUCCGACAUAUCAGAUGGAUUCUGAAAUCAGUUUCCCUCUGGCUGUAGUAACGGGAGUGAAGUCAGGAGAAUGUGAGCUUUGUUUAAAAAACAAAAAAAUAAAAGUAAGCCUUGUCCUGUA